rnacentral:rRNA from 1 species
CAAGCGUUAUCCGGAAUUAUUGGGCGUAAAGGGCUCGUAGGCGGUUCGUCGCGUCCGGUGUGAAAGUCCAUCGCUUAACGGUGGAUCCGCGCCGGGUACGGGCGGGCUUGAGUGCGGUAGGGGAGACUGGAAUUCCCGGUGUAACGGUGGAAUGUGUAGAUAUCGGGAAGAACACCAAUGGCGAAGGCAGGUCUCUGGGCCGUCACUGACGCUGAGGAGCGAAAGCGUGGGGAGCGAACAGGAUUAGAUACCCUGGUAGUCCACGCCGUAAACGGUGGAUGCUGGAUGUGGGGACCAUUCCACGGUCUCCGUGUCGGAGCCAACGCGUUAAGCAUCCCGCCUGGGGAGUACGGCCGCAAGGCUAAAACUCAAAGAAAUUGACGGGGGCCCGCACAAGCGGCGGAGCAUGCGGAUUAAUUCGAUGCAACGCGAAGAACCUUACCUGGGCUUGACAUGUUCCCGACAGCCGUAGAGAUACGGUUUCCCUUCGGGGCGGGUUCACAGGUGGUGCAUGGUCGUCGUCAGCUCGUGUCGUGAGAUGUUGGGUUAAGUCCCGCAACGAGCGCAACCCUCGCCCUGUGUUGCCAGCACGUCAUGGUGGGAACUCACGGGGGACCGCCGGGGUCAACUCGGAGGAAGGUGGGGAUGACGUCAGAUCAUCAUGCCCCUUACGUCCAGGGCUUCACGCAUGCUACAAUGGCCGGUACAACGGGAUGCGACCUCGUGAGGGGGAGCGGAUCCCUUAAAACCGGUCUCAGUUCGGAUUGGAGUCUGCAACCCGACUCCAUGAAGGCGGAGUCGCUAGUAAUCGCGGAUCAGCAACGCCGCGGUGAAUGCGUUCCCGGGCCUUGUACACACCGCCCGUCAAGUCAUGAAAGUGGGUAGCACCCGAAGCCGGUGGCCCAACCUUUUGGGGGGAGCCGUCUAAGGUGAGACUCGUGAUUGGGACUAAGUCGUAACAAGGUAGCCGUACCGGAAGGUGCGGCUG